rnacentral:rRNA from 1 species
GACGAACGCUGGCGGCGUGCUUAACACAUGCAAGUCGAACGGGCCUUGUCCCCUUUUUUUUUGGGGGUGGGGUUAGUGGCGAACGGGUGAGUAACACGUGAGUAACCUGCCCCUCACUUCUGGAUAACCGCUUGAAAGGGUGGCUAAUACGGGGUGUUCUGGCCUGCUCGCAUGGGUGGGUUUGGUAAGAUUCGACCGGUUUUGGUUGUUUUGGUGGGGGAUGGGCUGGCGGCCUAUCAGCUUGUUGGUGGGGUGGUGGCCUGCCAAGGGUUUGUCGGGUACCCGGGCUUGGAGGGUGGGCGGUCACGCUGGGACGGAGACACGGCCCAGACUCCUACGGGGGGCAGCAGUGGGGAAUAGUGCACAAUGGGCGCAAGCCUGAUGCAGCGACGCCGCGUGAGGGAUGGAGGCCUUCGGGUUGUGAACCUCUUUCGCCAGUGAAGAAGGUCCUGCUCUUUGUGGUGGGGUUGACGGUAGCUGGGUUAAUGAAGCGCCGGCUAACUACGUG